GAGAUGGCUUAGUUAGUAGAGCAUGAAACUCUUACUCUCAGGUCAUGGAUUCAAGCCCUAUGUUGGGCA